rnacentral:rRNA from 1 species
AUGUUCGUCGGCUUCCAGGUCUCGUACUCGUCCGACAACAGGAGCACCGAUGGCGGCUUCGUCAUCCACAGCUGGAGCUUCCAGACGAACGGGCUGCGCGCCGUCGGCCUCGCGUCCAGGCCCUCGCACAGCGUGUCCGACAGCGUCCGCAGCGCCCCCGCGUCGGGGGGUGUCGCCAGCCGUAAGGAUGGGCACCGCAAAAGGCUUGCGAUGGGGCUCGGCAUUCCUCUGUCCAUCGUGUUUCUCGGUGCAGUCAUGGUGUUUGUGAUAUUGUCUAUGAAGAAGUGGAGGUCUCGUCCUGCAGGGUUUAACGGCGGCGUCAGAGCAAAAGCAGCGGGCCAUCCAAGGCAGUUCAUGUACCAAGAUCUCUUCUCGGCGACCAAGGGAUUUGAUCCUUCUCUAGUGGUUGGCAGUGGUGGUUUCGGUACUGUAUACAAGGCGGUGUGCCCGCGCUCUGGGGUCACAUACGCGGUCAAGCGCUCCAAGCAAUCCACGGAGAGCCACAACGAGUUCACCGCCGAGCUUACCAUAAUCGCUGACCUGAAGCACCCUAAUCUGGUUCAGCUGCGAGGGUGGUGCGCGGAGAAGGACGAGCUGCUGCUUGUGUACGAGUUCAUGUCAAAUGGCAGCCUGGACAUGGCUCUCCACUCUUGCUCAGGUGUCCACCGUUAUCCCACUCUCAACUGGGCUCGGCGGUACAAUGUGGCAGUCGGCAUUGCCUCUGCGGUUGCAUACCUACAUGAAGAACAUGACAAGCAGGUGAUCCACAGGGAUAUCAAGUGCAGUAACAUACUUCUGGAUUCGCAUUUCAAUCCGAAGCUGGGGGAUUUUGGGCUUGCAAGGUUGAAGGAUCCUAGUACUAGCCCUCGAUCAACCUUAGCAGCAGGGACUGUUGGUUACCUUGCCCCUGAGUACCUCCAGAUGGGAAGAGCCACAGAAAAGAGGGAUGUCUACAGCUAUGGGGUUGUACUGCUGGAGAUCUGCACACGAAGGCGGCCAAUAGACCGAGAAGCUCCUGGCAGCAUGAACAUGCUGAAUGUUGUUGAUUGGGUUUGGAAUUUGCACUCUAAGGGCAGACUUUUAGAUGCUGUUGAUAUGAGCCUGAAUGGGGAGUAUGACACAGAGCAAAUGACGAGGCUGCUUCUUCUAGGUUUGAGCUGUGUGAAUCCCUUUUCAGAAGAGAGACCUGUCAUGAGGAAUGUUCUAGGCAUAGUGGAGGGCAAGAGUGAGCCAUUGCCUGUUCCGAAAAAGAAGCCGCUGCUUGUUUUCGUUUCAAAUGCACCUAUGGAUCUUGAGGGGAUAGUUUCUGAGUGCAAUCAGAGUACAGUUUCAAGUGAUCUCUUUGAGCUGAAAAUUGAUAUAAACUAG